rnacentral:lncRNA from 1 species
GCCCACACUUCCUUGAGCCUCCAGGUUUUCCUGUUUGCCCGUCCGAGAGGUAAAAGGUCAGCCUGCAGCAGGCCCUGGGAGUGAGGGACCCCUGGCUGCGAAGUUCCGCAAACCCCCUUCUUCAGCAUCCUUCACUAGCUUCGGGGCCACAACCCAGAAUCCUCCCCAGCACCCACCCCGUCUACCCCGACCCAGAGUCUCCUUCUGCUUGGUCUUUGUGGCCGCUGCCCUGCGCAGGCUCCAGCCGGGCCGCUCCCUUUGUUGCUCUCCAAUUUGCUGGCUGUGCUGGCUGCCGGAGUGCUUGCUCUAACCUAAAUCUCUCCUUGCCGUUCUCCUGCUGAAAAUCUUCCCGUGGCUUCCUGUAGCCUGCAGAGCGAGUGCAAGGCUUUGCCAGGAAGGCAGAGCCCUUUGGGUCUCCCCUACUCCUCCUUCCAUGGAGCCUGGGUUUGCCAGGACACUCAGGUCCUAACCCCUGACCCCUGAUGUGCCCCCUGGCUGGAACACGCUCCCUUUUCUGUUUGAGGAGCUGCUACUUUGCUCAGAGUUGCCCUGCUCCCGAGGCUGUUGGCUGCUCCUACAGUAACCCUCAUGGGUGGGAGUCUGUGGUCCCCUCCGUCUCCCACACUAGAUUCUCUGUGUGCCAAGGGAUGAGCUCAGGUCUGUCUUCCUCGCCUUCCUGCAGCGCGCUUCUCUACCCCCAGGCCGACUCCAAUUCCUGGCUCAAGCCAGUUGGCAGCAGCUGUACCACCUGUGGACUUUCACAAUGUCAGGUUUGACCCUUGCUGCUCGAGAGGAGGCCUCAAGCGACAGGCGGGGAAGGGCACCCCUCUGGGGUUGGUGUGGACCAGCGGUUAUUAUCAGGAUUCUAUCCUGGAAAACGAGCAUCUCUGUGCAUCCAAAUCCAUCCCAGCUCCUGUUUCUGGAAAACUCAACCAGCCACCGGACUCCUCCUCAGCUGACCCUGUGCACAGACAGGUCGGAUACAGUCUUUCCUUCCUCUGCUCUUUCGGUAG